rnacentral:misc_RNA from 1 species
GAUGAAGAACGUAGCGAAAUGCGAUAAGUAAUGUGAAUUGCAGAAUUCAGUGAAUCAUCGAAUCUUUGAACGCACAUUGCGCCCGCCAGCACUCUGGCGGGCAUGCCUGUUCGAGCGUCAUUUCAACCAUCAAGCCCCCAGGGGCUUGUGCUGGGGCCCUGCGGCUGCCCGCAGGCCCUGAAAACCAGUGGCGGGCUCGCUAGUCACACCGAGCGCAGUAGCACAUCUCGCUCAGGGGGUGCGGCGGGCUCCUGCCGUGAAACCCCCCACUGUAACCCCAAAGGUUGACCUCGGAUCAGGUAGGAAUACCCGCUGAACUUAAGCAUAUCAAUAAGCGGAGGA